rnacentral:rRNA from 1 species
UACGAAGGGGGCUAGCGUUGCUCGGAAUCACUGGGCGUAAAGCGCACGUAGGCGGAUCUUUAAGUCAGGGGUGAAAUCCCAAGGCUCAACCUUGGAACUGCCUUUGAUACUGGGGAUCUCGAGUCCGGAAGAGGUGAGUGGAACUGCGAGUGUAGAGGUGAAAUUCGUAGAUAUUCGCAAGAACACCAGUGGCGAAGGCGGACUCACUGGUCCGGUACUGACGCUGAGGUGCGAAAGCGUGGGGAGCAAACAGGG